CUUCGCGUGUUUCUCUCUCCCCUGUGAAUCUCCCUAACUCUUCCUUUUAAGUCUUAAUGCCCUUCCCUACACUAUCAACCUCAUCAAGAAGCUCUUGAGUCGCCUUUAAAUAUUUUUAACCCAUCGGAACCCCCUGUAAAUUUGAUGAAACAGAGUCCACAGUCCCCUGUUUCAUUCUAUCAGAUAAUCCACGGCCAUUUGAAUGCCAUUCGAUGGUUGUUGGGAAAAAAGACUCAAAGAGUGAACCCCUUGUUAUGUUUGAUCAGACGCCAUGGGUGCUAUUCAAAUACCCAUAUGAGAAAUCGUGAUUUCCUGAACAGGUUGGAAAUGAGAGAUUGAGGCUGAACUGUUCAUAUUUACGAUUUGGGGAGGAUUAAUAUAGGCCUUAGAUUGAUCAGUUGCUUGGAGAAGGGUGGGUUCAUUGCCCUAUUUCCUCCAUUGAUUGUCUUGGUGAUGGCCUGAAAUUCGAUAGGCAAGCAAAUUCGGGUUUAUGACAGGCGGGUUUACAAUGAGUACCUGGCGUUGUGCGCCUGAGGUUGUUGGUUUGUGUUUUAAGAGAGAUUGGUACCAGUUGUUAAGGGAUUUCUAUUAACAUGAUUUACAAGCACCAUGUUUCCUGGAUUUGCAGAGGGCGUCGCCUCUGCAUAACCCACAUAUCCAGGGUUCAUGCUAUAGAAGGUUUAGGGAUUAUACUAUAAUGGGCUUUGACUUUGUCUCAAUUUGUAACAUCCGGCCAUUGGAGUGAUUGAUUUUUUUUACAAUGGCUAACUGUAAAUACGUUCCAAUAAUUAUGAAGGAUACUUAUAUUAUUGCUGUAGAAGAUAAUGGACGUACAAUUGUUACGCAGGUUUUCAGCUGGUUGUCUCUUCUCCAUCUUCUCUUUCUGAUUCUCUCUAUAGCCUCUACUUCUCCCAUGACACUCUCUCUCUUCUUUAAAUAGAGGGUGAUGUAGGAAAAAAAAAAUAAAAAUAAAAAUAAAAAGAAUGGUUGAGAUAAUAUACCCUAUCUUAAAGUCUAUAAGAGAAUCUACACGAUAUCAAAAUUUAUUAACUCAUUAACUUUUUUACAAUGAACUUUUUUUAUCUCCCUCCAAAUAUACUAAAAAAAAUUAAGAAAUAAGAUAAACAAUGAACUUUCCUAUUUUAUCUCUCCCCUAUUUUCUCUUUUUUAACCUAGCUACCUUUUAUCCAAACCUUCUCCUUCAAUAGAUAGCCACGUUUUACCCAUAAUCUACCGUCUUCAAUAGAUAGCCACGUUUUACCCAUAAUCUACCGUCUUCAAUAGAUAGCCACAUUGUCAAAAAUAAACCCUCUAAAUUUAACAUUAUUCUAUUUAUGCUCUUAAACUAACCCGAUUUAACCUUAUUCUAAUUACAUUUUUAAACUAUCUGGGGAAAGUUUUCUAUGUUUCCCCUACAACAUAAAAUUCUACCUUUCCCUUACCAUCCAACAAUCUAUUUUUUAUCAAGACAGCCACGUACCAUUUGAUCUUAGAUCCAACGUCUCAAAAUAUUUUAUUUUUAAUUUUUUUAAUGCAAUUUUCUUGAAUAUGAAAUUUGGUAUAUAUUAUCUUCUCUUUGGGAUGCACCUAUAAAAAAUAGUAACAAUAAUUUUUCGAUAAAAACUAAUG
rnacentral:lncRNA from 1 species